CAGCCAACAUCCAGAGAAGAAGAAAAAAAAACAUAAGCCAUAUAUGCGCAACUAAAGGCUCUUUUAAGAGCCAUCAUCAUUGCAUGACAGAUAGGACGUCUUUUCCGUCUUUUAGAUUGGAUGUCUCGUCUAUCUAUUGCAUAGCUGUUAAUCCAGGCUGUGUUCCGGUCCAAUUCGCUCUCUCUGGUGAAGCUCACCAUUAGAUUGGACAUCUUGUCCAUCUAGCUUGCUAACGCACCUCAAAAAAAUGAGCCAGAAAACCAAAACUUUGGAACCAAUAACCAAACCCAAACUUUGGAACCAAUAACCAAACCCAAACUUUGGAACCAAUAACCAAACCCAAACUUUGAACCCUAUAACCACCCAAAAAUAAAUAUUUGAUUUACAGUGCCCGAAAGCCUGAAAGAGGGACCAGCUCCAGUCUGCCCUGCUGCCUUCAUGAUCUGAGGACUACGUUGGAAAAUCAACAUCCAAACACACACACACACACAGUCAUUUGUUUGAUAACCAACUGUUUAGCUUUACAUUACAUAGUGUUCAUUGUCUAUAGUCUUGUAUAUCACAUAUUUAACUUUAUUUAGCUUUUGUAUAAUUGACUGCUUUGAAUCAGCUCUUAUUAUUUAAAGUGCAGUUGCUGUUCAGUAAGUUCAGUCUUGUAACAUCUAUAUUGUAUAGUUGAUUUCACAAUCUUUUGGGUGUCAUUUUAUAAAGCAGU